rnacentral:rRNA from 1 species
AUUGAACGCUGGCGGCAUGCCUUACACAUGCAAGUCGAACGGCAGCACGGGUGCUUGCACCUGGUGGCGAGUGGCGAACGGGUGAGUAAUACAUCGGAACAUGUCCUGUAGUGGGGGAUAGCCCGGCGAAAGCCGGAUUAAUACCGCAUACGAUCUACGGAGGAAAGCGGGGGGCCUUCGGGCCUCGCGCUGUAGGGUUGGCCGAUGGCUGAUUAGCCAGUUGGGGGGGUAAAGGCCUACCAAGGCGACGAUCAGUAGCUGGUCUGUGAGGACGACCAGCCACACUGGGACUGAGACACGGCCCAGACUCCUACGGGAGGCAGCAGUGGGGAAUUUUGGACAAUGGGCGAAAGCCUGAUCCAGCAAUGCCGCGUGUGUGAAGAAGGCCUUCGGGUUGUAAAGCACUUUUGUCCGGAAAGAAAUCCUUGGCUCUAAUACAGUCGGGGGAUGACGGUACCGGAAGAAUAAGCACCGGCUAACUACGUG